rnacentral:rRNA from 1 species
CAGCAGCCGCGGUAAUCCGAAGGGGGCUAGCGUUGCUCGGAAUGACUGGGCGUAAAGGGCGCGUAGGCGGAUUGUUUAGUUAGGCGUGAAAUUCCUGGGCUUAACCUGGGGACUGCGCUUAAUACAGGCAGUCUAGAGUGAGGAAGAGGGUUGUGGAAUUCCCAGUGUAGAGGUGAAAUUCGUAGAUAUUGGGAAGAACACCAGUGGCGAAGGCGGCUCACUGGACCGACACUGACGCUGAGGCGCGAAAGCGUGGGGAGCAAACAGGAUUAGAGACCCCCGUAGUCCCUGUCUCUUAUAC